UGUGAUGUGGCUCAUGGGUAGAGCCCUUGCCUAGCGUAUGUGAGGCACUGGGAUGGAUUCCCAGCACCACAU
rnacentral:tRNA from 1 species